rnacentral:lncRNA from 1 species
GGCGUUUGUGAUUGGUGGGUUCUGCCGCGGCCGGGAAGUUCGAACAGAAGUCUGGGGAAGAGCCGGCGAAGAGCAAAGAGAUAAUACAGUACUCCCAGCUAUAGCAAGCGGCAGUUAUGGAGCAUGCGCAGCAGCAGGGGCGGCCGCAGUCAAGGGAUUUGUACAGCCCUGUAGGAGACACCUCCAGAGAAAGUAACAGCUCUCAAUUGAUUAGCUGAGAAGCCUCAGGGGCUGGAUCCUGACAUGAACCAGACACCUCCAGAAUUCUAUCCCAAGCAAAAGAUUAUUUCAAGGCCAGAACUCACUCCCUGCUGGAGACUGACUACAAGAUCCACUGAGAUUGAUGUGUAACCUGAUUGGGCCCACAGUGAUGCUAGCCCCUUCACCAGAUGGAACAAUAAUUCCAGACAAGCCAUCAGAGCAGAGAGCAGAGAAGAGGAGAAGCAGCUGGAUGUCAGAGACUGCAGUUUGACGUUGGAGAAAAGCAGCUUGACUUCAGAGGGACAGCUUGACAGCAUGGAUUCAGAGAGGAGAAGAUCACCUUCCUGCUCCGUCCCCUUUCCAGCUCCCUUUCCCACUGAGAGCCACUUACACAGGCAAUAAAAUCCUCUGCAUUCACCACCCUUCAAUUCAUUCAUGCAACCUGAUUUUUUUCUGGAUGCUGAACAUGAGCUCAGGUACCAUGGGUGCAGAUGCAAAAGGCUGUCACACUGACCCUGUGCCCUUG